rnacentral:rRNA from 1 species
GACCUGGCUGGGUGGUCUUGCCGAAAGGUAAGUACUGCACCGGUUGGGUCUUUCCUUCUGGGGAACCAGUGUGCUCUUAACUGGGUGCAUUGGGGAUCCAGGACUUUUACUUUGAAAAAAUUAGAGUGUUUAAAGCAGGCGAAACAGCUUGAAUACAUUAGCAUGGAAUAAUAAAAGAGG